rnacentral:rRNA from 1 species
GACGAACGCUGGCGGCGUGCUUAACACAUGCAAGUCGAACGGAAAGGCCCUGCUUUUGUGGGGUGCUCGAGUGGCGAACGGGUGAGUAACACGUGAGUAACCUGCCCUUGACUUUGGGAUAACUUCAGGAAACUGGGGCUAAUACCGGAUAGGAGCUCCUGCUGCAUGGUGGGGGUUGGAAAGUUUCGGCGGUGGGGGAUGGACUCGCGGCUUAUCAGCUUGUUGGUGGGGUAGUGGCUGACCAAGGCUUUGACGGGUAGCCCGCCUGAGAGGGUGACCGGCCACAUUGGGCCUGAGAUACGGCCCAGACUCCUACGGGAGGCAGCAGUGGGGAAUAUUGCACAAUGGGCGGAAGCCUGAGGCAGCAACGCCGCGUGCGGGAUGACGGCCUUCGGGUUGUAAACCGCUUUCGCCUGUGACGAAGCGUGAGUGACGGUAAUGGGUAAAGAAGCACCGGCUAACUACGUG